rnacentral:rRNA from 1 species
CACGCACGCUGGCGGCAGGCCUAACACAUGCAAGUCGAGCGAGGACUUCGGUUCUAGCGGCGGACGGGUGAGUAACGCGUGGGAAUGUGCCCUUCUCUACGGAAUAGCCCUGGGAAACUGGGAGUAAUACCGUAUACGCCCUUUUGGGGAAAGAUUUAUCGGAGAAGGAUCAGCCCGCGUUGGAUUAGGUAGUUGGUGGGGUAAUGGCCUACCAAGCCGACGAUCCAUAGCUGGUUUGAGAGGAUGGUCAGCCACACUGGGACUGAGACACGGCCCAGACUCCUACGGGAGGCAGGAGUGGGGAAUCUUAGACAAUGGGGGCAACCCUGAUCUAGCCAUGCCGCGUGAGUGAUGAAGGCCUUAGGGUUGUAAAGCUCUUUCAGCUGGGAAGAUAAUGACGGUACCAGCAGAAGAAGCCCCGGCUAACUCCGUG